rnacentral:tRNA from 1 species
CGGGCCGUAGUAUACCGGUAGUACGUGCGAUUCGGGUUCGUAAAGACCGGGUUCGAUUCCCGGCGGCCCGACCA